rnacentral:rRNA from 1 species
CGAAUUCAAUAUAUGUCAAAACGACUCUCGGCAACGGAUAUCUCGGCUCUCGCAUCGAUGAAGAACGUAGCAAAAUGCGAUACGUGGUGUGAAUUGCAGAAUUCCGUGAACCAUCGAGUUUUUGAACGCAAGUUGCGCCCGAAGCCAUUCGGCCUA